rnacentral:rRNA from 1 species
AACUACGUGCCAGCAGCCGCGGUAAUACGUAGGUGGCAAGCGUUUCCGGAAUCAUUGGGCGUAAAGGGUGCGUAGGCGGCUUAUUAAGUCUGUAGUGAAAUCGAGAGCUCAACUCUAUCAAGCUACGGAAACUGGUAAGCUAGAGUGCGGUAGAGGCUAGUGAAUUCCAUGUGUAGCGGUAAAAUGCGUAGAUAUAUGGAGGAACACCGGUGGCGAAGGCGCUAGCUGGGCCGUAACUGACGCUGAGGCACGAAAGCGUGGGGAGCAAAUAGGAUUAGAUCCCUAGUAGUCCACGCCGUAAACGAUGAAUACUAAGUGUUGGAGAAAUUCAGUGCUGCAUUAACGCAAUAAGUAUUCCGCCUGGGGAGUAUGCACGCAAGUGUGAAACUCAAAGGAAUGACGGGGACCCGCACAAGCGGUGGAUUAUGUGGUUUAAUUCGAUGCAACGCGAAGAACCUACCAAGUCUUGACAUCCCUGGCGAAGGUGUAGAGAUACACUGGAGGUUAUCCGGGUGAAGGUGGUGCAUGGUUGUCGUCAGCUCGUGUCGUGAGAUGUUGGGUUAAGUCCCGCAACGGCGCAACCCUUGUCUUCAGUUACCAGCAUUCAGUUGGGGACUCUGGAGAGACUGCCGGUACAAACCGGAGGAAGGUGGGGAUGACGUCAAAUCAGCAUGCCCCUUAUGACUUGGGCUAACACGUAAUACAAUGGCGCACACAAAGGGAAGCAAUAGGGUGACCUGGAGCAAAUCUCAAAAUUGCGUCUCAGUUCGGAUUAGAGUCUGCAACUCGACUCUAUGAAGUUGGAAUCGCUGUAAUCGCGAAUCAGCACGUCGCGGUGAAUACGUUCUCGGGUCUUGCACACACCGCCCU